UUCUAGUGAUGCUUUUGAUGGGAACAGGGUCACUUGUGCCAAAACAGAGGCUAGAAUCAAUCUCCCUUUUGCAGCUGUGUAUUUUGUCUGUUGUUUGGUGCUUUGCUUUGCCAAGCUCUUACAGCUGUACUCUACAGUGGUCCCCCUUAUCCAUGGUUUCGCCUUCCAAGGUUUUCCGCUCGGUUCGGCCCUCCUCCCUGGUCUGGAAGCAGAUGCUCCUCCUUCUGACGUAGCGUCAAGUGACGUCACAAUUACGGCGUCACUCACGGCAUUUCAGCGCUUCGUCUCGUCACUCAGGCUUUUUAUCAUCUCCACGUCAUCGCAAGAAGGAGAGAAGCUUGAUACGCUCAAGGAUUAAACCAAUUUAAAGAAGAAGAGUGAUAUAAGUUGUUUGGAGGUACUUUCCAAACGUUCCAGAUUUGGGGUCUGAGGAUAUAAAGGAAGUGGCUUUUACCACGCUUCACUUUGAAUGAGUGCAUGCACGUGUAACCUGGAGAGAGGGGCAGAGGAAGAGAGAGAAUCCCAAGCAGGCUACACCUUCAGCAUGGAGCCUGACAUAGGGCUUGAUCCCACAACCUUGGGAUCAUGACCUGAGUAGAAAUCAAGAGUUGGAUGCUCAACUGACUGAGCUGUGCAGGCGCCCCUUGGGUAAGUUUUGUAAACUCCCUAAGCAUCAGUUUUCUUAUCUAUAAGAUGAUGAUAAUAGCUCCUUAUCUAAAGAUCAUGUAUUAAAUAUAUGAAGAACUUAGAACAGUGUCUUGUUAAUGGUAGAUUCUCAGUAAAUCAUUCACCAUUCACAUCACCUAGCCAUCCUGAGGUCUUUUUAUUGAGCCUGGAAUUCAAAGUCACCUUCACUUAAUAGGACUCUAGCCAAAAAUAAUGGAAAUGUGGGCAGAGCUCCAGUCCUAGAAAAAGGGCUACAGUUACAGAAAGUAGAAUAAGAAUGAAUGGGACAGACGUAUGUGGGCUGCAGUUGCCUAAGGCUUUCAUGGUGUACUACUGAUUUUUGUUUCUGGUUAGCAAAAUGAAGGAAUCAGAAAAUAUUUCACCAUAAAAAGAUAAUUCAUAUAACUUAUUAAUGCCAAUGUGCAUAGGCGAUGAUCUUAACAAAAACAACAAUUGUCACAAAUUGCCAAGUCAUUCUUGGAGGUUAUGUUUCUUAGCCCUAGAGUGGGGAGAACUAUCAUUUUAUACCCCAUAAGUAAUAUUGUCUUGUUCUUCUUGCCAGGAAUGAUAAAGCAUCUUUCUUCUGUUUAAUGCUAUUACUAUUUUUGGCAACCUCAUGUCCCAUUAGCUUCUUUUCAUUUUCAAUUUAAAUUUUAGUUAAAAUACAGGGAAAUACUGGUUUCAGGAGUAGAAUUCAGUGAUUCAUCACUUAACAUACAACACCCAAUACUCCUC